rnacentral:rRNA from 1 species
AGCGAACGCUGGCGGCAGGCCUAACACAUGCAAGUCGAACGAACCUUUCGGGGUUAGUGGCGGACGGGGGAGUAACACGUGGGAACGUGCCUUUAGGUUCGGAAUCACUCAGGGAAACUUGUGCUAAUACCGAAUGUGCCCUUCGGGGGAAAGAUUAAUCGCUUUUAGAGCGGCCCGCGUCUGAUUCGCUAGUUGGGUGAGGUAAUGGCUCACCAAGGCGACGAUCAGGAGCUGGUCUGGGAGGAGGAUUAGACACAUUGGGACUGAGACACGGCCCAAACUCCUACGGGAGGCAGCAGUGGGGAAUCUUGCGCGAUGGGCGAAAGCGUAACGCAGCCAUGCCGCGUGAAUGAUGAAGGUCUUAGGAAUGUAAAAUUCUUUCACCGGAGGCGAUAAUGACGGUACCCGGAGAAGAAGCCCCGGCUAACUUCGUG